UGCACGACCUUAGUUUCAAAUACGGAUGCUACUCGAGCCUGCCUGCUGCUUCCCAGGGUCUAGCCCCUGUACCUAGGACUUUGGGUCUGCCCUGGUGCCCAGCGGGCAGAACCAGUGGUGAAUUGUACCUACACUGUGGUUGGAAGUUUCUGACGUCUUUGCUACUCUGGUUCACCCUGCCUGGCUCCUGAUGCAGGCCUCUGAGUACUGCUUCUCCAUCUUCGGGUUCCCACCCUUGGGCGUGAGCCCUGAAAUUAAAGUUUGCACAACA
rnacentral:lncRNA from 1 species